rnacentral:ncRNA from 1 species
UCAUGAUGUCUUCACAAGGGGAAUAAUAGGGAACACGGAAAAAUCGACCUUGAAAAGGGAUUUCAACCGUGGCUGCCCCCGCAACUGUAAAACGGCAGCACUUUCUUUCAGGGUACAACCCUUGGCCACUGCGCAAGCGGGAAGGUUUUGAAGGUGCAUCAAAAUGCCGCCAGCCAGGAGACCUGCCGUCGAACAUGG